GAGCAUUCCACAGGUCCUAGUGCUACCCUCCCACGGGCUAGGGGACACCCGGAGCCUGUGUCCCCUGGGGAAGGGCUGCUGGGGUCACCAAGGCACCCAGAGCCUGUGGGAAGGGGCUGCUGGUGGUGGGAAAGGGCAGGGAGCAACACUGGGAAUUGCAGCUGGCACAGGAACAGCCCAGGGAUCAUCUCCCUCAGCGUGGAGUUUUUGCCUCUGGACAGGUCCAGGAUGUUACCAGCGGAGGGAAAAGCUGGAAAAUUACAUCCAGUUAUGAGGAGAUCCAUCGAUCAUCAUCUCCUUAACAUGGGGAGUGACCAGCAGGCCAGGCUGAAAGGCAGCAAAGAAGGGAUGUCUGGAAGCUUUUGGGAUUUUGGAUACUGGAACUGGCAAAUCCUGUUUCCAGUAAGCCUGGUGCCUGUGCUUGUGCUGAUUCUUUCCUGGAUGCAUCAUGCACUCUGGAGCCAGAGGUGCCACUCCAGAUUUGCUCCUGUUGAAAUCUCAGCUUCCCAUCACUUCUAAGCUCAAAUUCUCCACCUGCCAUGGGUUUGGCCAAAAUUCCCUCAGGGUGAUUCCCUUCUCCCUGUGCCAAGCUGCAGAACAGCUCAGGAACAAUGGAUAAUUGUAAGAAAAAACCUAAAAAAACUCAAAUAAAACCACCACCAACCAAU